CAACUCUACUGGGAGGUGAAUGGUGAAGCCCAAGCUCAGUGAAGCUGCAGUAUUUAGACUGAGUGUGGUCUGUGAUGUGGCUGCUGCUGCUGGAGCCAAGCUGGUUGUCCUCAAACAAGCUCCUCUUGAGUUACGGUAACUCAAGCGAUUCUGACUUUAUCCUAGAUGCCAGCCCCCAGCUAUUCCUGGAAUUAGAUUCUAGGCUAGGAGUGUGUGUUUUAAUAGAAAAACAUCUAUAUGAUCUCCAAUUCUUUCAUUCUCCUAAAGAAAUGUUAGUUUUUCUAAUUUCUGCUGAUUUUUCCCAUGGACCCACUGACUCUCCCACACAUUCUGCCUUAUGAUAGAAGCACUUUAGUGAUGAAAGAAAGUAGGGCCUAUUCAUGGGAAAAAAGGUAGUCUGAAUGCUUCAGAGGAUCAUCUUCUAAGUAGCUCGUCUUUAUUGCUUCAUAGCACACAUGUGAGUUGCGGUCCUUGCUAAUCUGGUUGAUGCAGAGUUAGGAAUGGUAUACAGCGAUAUUGAUGGAUUAUCCCUGAAGCUAAAGACUGAGAAUACCCCAUUACUUCUGUUUGAAAAUCUCAGUUACGUUCUCACCCAGACAUCCUCAUUUUCUCAGGAAUUUCUGUACACUCAGCACAAAAUGCUUGCACAAUAGGCACGGCAACUCCUGCAACUAUUGCUUACAAUCUGCUGGCUAAUCCUUUCUGUGAUCCACGCGGUGCCUACUGGGUUUGGCUUUUGACUGGGAUUAGAAUCUGGUGCUGAUGCAUACUGCCAAGCAUGCCAAGCAGCAUACAAACCUGGAGCUCAGAGCCUAUUGUUUGUGCAUCUUUCCUCUAAUUCCGCUUUUGAACCCCUGUCUCCUUCCAGCCCUUAAGUAAGACAUCUAAUCCUGUUCCAUUUCCAUACCUUUCCAGGGAUUUGUUUCGUACUAUCAGUUAAUGUCUAUUACCUGCUUUUGGACAGGGGAUGCCAGGAUGGUGUCACCCUGGUGCCACAGCAAACUAUCAUAUCUCAAGUGGGAAGCUGCGUUUCUGCUGCUCAAGCACCUCUACUAUUCAGUGAAAUUGCCUUUUCAAUGGGAAUUUCUGCCCUCUCCAGCAGUGCUGCUGCACCCAAACCAUACACAAGCAGGAAGGCAUGGCAAGUAUCAAGGCUGAGGCAUGGAGUGCCUGCUGAGUAUGGGGCACACAGUAAGCGGCUUUAGGAUUUUCUUUCUGUCCUGUCCCUGUUGCACGUGACUCCAAUGCUACUCUGGGGUCUGUGUGAGCUGGUAGGGAGCCCUUGCUCCUCCCAGUCUGUUCAGGCUUUCAGGGGUUCAUGCUGCUUUUGUCCCAGUUUCAUGUCAGAAGGACACUUGCUGGGUCUAGGUACAGCACACCCUGCUCAGGCUCCAUCCCUGCACUGCCAUGGCCUUGCAUCCACGCCUUCAGUUAACCAAGCCUCGUCUGCAACCUGUUGCUCCUGCCCUACAAUGCUGCUUAAAUUUAGUUUAAAAUCUGGCCAUUUUACUGCUGCAUCCCACAUUCCUCACAGACAGUAGCAAGCUAAUAACAACGUGCUGAUGCCAUCGUAGCCAUCACAGGCUGGAGCUGGCAUGCAUAGUCUUGUCUCGUAAACCUCUUUGUCCCGUGAGAGAUUUGAGAAUUUAAUACACAUUCGGUCUGUACCUCCUUAUUUGAGGCUGGCCAGUCUGAAUCACUUUUGAUAAACUCUAAGCAGGAAUUUCAAACAUAGUUAUGUUCCUAUCAGUUUAAUUAAAGUAGAUGACUGGGUAGAGAAACCCUGUGAAAUGUUCCCAUUGAGGAGAAGGCUGUGCUGGGUGUGCCCCUGAGGAACCAUCAGGGAAUCUGCACAGGGCCAUGGCUGUUAUCAUGGGGCACUGAGGAACUUUACUUGAAGCUCUGUCUUGCACUGCCUUAUGAGGAUGCGACACUGCGUGGAUAUGAGAAGCCGGAAAGGACAGGCAUGGCAUGGAGUUUACUUUGCCAACAUUGAAAGUGCUGGGAGCUACUGAACUGGACAGCGGCUUCAAAUGCCAGUGACCUCCGGGAGCUGGGAGUGAACGUUGUAAUUGAUAUAAGGAUGGAAGCUGCUGCACUACAAAGUGGCAUUUUGGAUACUGUGGGAACAGGUGAUGUGAAGCAUCCUCGGCGAGAUCUGUUUCCCUCCACUCUUUUGACUCCUGUCAGAGAACUGGCAUCAAACAGAAGAUCUAUUUUUCGCCCUGCUCUGGUUGUCUGCAGCAUCUGGAUAAGCUGAAGACAGCAUUUGCUAAACUGAAAAGUAUUUAGGGAGAAGUUCUCUGUCUGUACCUCGCCUCUCAGCAGCUGGACCAUUUAUGGAUGCUCUGUAAGGGCAGUGUACAAUGACUUGCAGCAUUCCUCCAUGAGAAGCUUUUGUGGGAUUUCUGUCUUAUCAUUAGCACGUUAUAAAAAUGUCAACUAUUUCCAAACCUUUCAAGUUUCAUUGGAAGGACUACUCUGAAUUUCAGCCCUGAAGUCGGUUGAUGUGCGGUUUGAUCAUCUGUUCCUCCUCUCGUACAGAUGCUCUCAAUGUGGGCAGCAGAGCAGCGCUGUCACAGCAGAUUAAUGGCAGAAUGCAGCACUGCUUGUGGAAGCAGAGUAACUAAAGACCAACAGUGAUGUUGUAUCAUCUGAAUAAACCCUGAAAUUAGAAUAAUUUUUCUCAGUGUUUCGGCCUCCUAAGUACAAAGUAAUAACCCUGUCAGGGGUAAUAUUUGCUGCUGUCUCCUGUGGAUGCGUUGGGAAUUCGCUGCAGCCUCCUG
ensembl:lncRNA